UCACCAUUUCUCAUCUUUGUAUAUUCUUUAUUAUCUAAUAAAUAGAGAAAUUGUCUUUUAGAUUUGACUUUUCAUUUUCUCAUAAUUAAUUUGAUUGUUAUUACACAAUAACAAUUAUGUAAAUAUUUUAAUGAGGCACAUUCUUUGUAAUGAACAUCCAAGGGGGAGUGUUAUAAAUUUAUUAAAAUAAAUGUAGAUGUUUAUAACAUAAAAUCUCUUAGUCUCUCCACUAUCUCCCAUUAGCAACAUUUAGCUUCCCUAUAACUCCCACUAUCUCACAAGAAAUUAUGAUCCAUAAUUUUUCAUUAAUUUCAUGGAGUGAUUAUGUAACUAUAAAAGGAGAGCUCAUCUUUUUAUUUUGUAUACACACAAUUGGAAUCAAUAAAAUCAUUAUAUAAUAUAUUCUUUUAUUUUAUUCUUUAUCUUGCAUUACUUCUUUAUUUGUAUUGCUAGCUAAUAGCUUUUUAUGUUUUUUAUAAGGCUGCCUCAUUUUAAAAAAAAAUCAAUUCAUAUUUUUUAUCAGUUUAUCAAGUGUAAAGUAGGAAAAAAGGAUAAUACUAAAUUCUUUUUUCAAAGCCGCGUGAAGCGCGGUUCUAUUUUUUAGUAUAUAUAUAAAGCUGGGACUUGAGGAGGUGAUGUGGAAUCACCAUUUCUCAUCUUUGUAUAUUCUCUAUUAUCUAAUAAAUAGAGAAAUUUUCUUUUAUAUUUGAUUUUUCAUCUUUUCAUAAUUAAUUUGAUUGUUAUUACACAAUAAAAAUUAUGCAAAGAUUUUAAUGAGGCAUAUUAUUUGUAAUGAACAUUCAAAGGGGAGUGUUAUGAAUUUAUUAAAAUAAAUGUAGAUGUUCAUAACAUAUAUCUCUUAGUCUCUCCACUAUCUCUCAUUAGCAAUAUUUAGCUUCCCUAUAACUCCCACUAUCUCAUAAGGAAUUAUGAUCCAUAAUUUUUCAUUAAUUUCAUGGAGUGAUUAUGUAACUAUAAAAGGAGAGCUCAUCUUUUUGUUUUGUACACACACAAUUGGAAUGAAUAAAAUCACUCUAUAAUAUAUUCUCUAAUUUUAUUCUUUAUCUUGCGUUGCUUCUUUAUUUGUAUUGCUGGCUAAUAGCUUUUUUUGUUUUUUAUAAGGCUGCCUCAUCUUAAAAAAAAAUCAAUUCAUAUUUUUUAUCAGUUUCAUCAAGUGUAAAAUAAGAAAAAAAGAUAAUAUUAAUUUUUUUUUCAAAGCCGCGUGAAGCGCGAUUCUAUUUUCUAGUUUUUUUAAUAAAGAGAGAGCAGGGCCAACUCAAGCUUUUUUGUCCACCCUACAUAUAACAGAAAAACCUCAUCCUUUAGUCAAUAGCCUCAGACAAGCUCCCAAGCUGUUCGUAAAUGAAAUUUCGAUCGAGAGCAAGAUCCCAACAAAUCAAGUCUGCACCCAUACUAGAAAUAGGAAUCAACAUAAUCUAUUUGACAAUUUAUGAGGGCAACAUAUUCAGGAGUUUACUCCUAUCCCAAAUAGUACCCGAUCAGUAAAAGGAAACUAACACUAUAGAUGUCGCAUUAGAAUUAUAAAAGAAUAAAGGGAAAGAGUCUAGCCACCAAUCAUACCAGAAACUACACGCCUAACAGCCAAUCAUCCAAUGCACAUGAGGCUAAACAACACAUUGAAUCAAGUAUUUUAAUAAAUAUGUUAAAAAAUGUUAGACUGAAUUUUUUAUUUAAAAAAUUUAUAAAAUAAGUUGAUGACACGGCUAAUAAACCAGUCAGAUUGAUUCAAAUUUAACUUGACACCCCACACCAAACUAUAAAUAUCAAUGAAUUUACAAAAACAGAAUGAUUGUUCUCACAAUAACGAGUACAAUACUGAGCAUAGAACAAUGCAUUUUAGACACAUUAUAAAAACUAAAAUUGUAACGCUUAAAAUACUUUCAAGUAAUUAAUCUUGGCCCUCACUUCGUUACGCUCCCUCAUUCUCUCUUCUCCCAAAUCCAAUCGCCUAACAGCCAAGUAAUUAAUCAUCCUUGUCUCUCUCAUCCCAUCUCUGACAUAUGGGUAUGAGAGAGACAAUGAUGAUUGAUUUGGAAGAAGAAAGAGUGAGGGAGCAAGACAAAAGAUAGAGAGAGCCCAGUCGAUUGCUUCAGAGCGUUGAUUUGGGUGUUAUAAUUUCAGUUUUCAAACUAAGUCUAAAACGCAGCGUUCAAUAAUGUCCCACUUGUUUCCGGGAAAGCCAAUUCAAGCGAAUUUGGAAAAAUGCAAAUAAAAGCUAAGUACAAAACUAAAAGUAAUAGAGGUAGAUGAAAAGCUUAUUUGAGAUUGAGGUUGGACAGUUGCACUUUAAAAGUUACAAUACUAAAGUAUUAGAUAAAUACUAACUGUUGUAGUUUCGAAAAUAAGUUAAUUUGAUUUUAUACUUCAAUGAUGAAAAAUCUAUUAUAUUUAUAUCUUUACUAAUUUUAUCAAAAUUAUUAUUUAAAAAUUAUAUUUAUUAUAUAACAUUGACUUUUAUUUCAUAAUUAUAUAUAUAUUUUUUUUACGACACUUUAAUUCCAAACAGAAUUGAAAGCUCAGUAUGUUCUACCAUAUAAUGUGUUAUCCCAACUGUGACAUCUCAUUUCAACUGAAAAUUAUUUCAAAUGACAAAAUCUUACAACAAAGAUACGUAUUAAUUGUAUAUCAUGAUGCAAGGUAUUGACACCUCAUAUAUUAAAGAAAUUGAUAAAUAUGCAACAAAACAUAUAUAGUGUUUAUUUUAUUUGAUAUGUAUAACACGGCAGAAAAAUCGUAGUGUCCUUUCUAUUGCAUUAAUUUCCACUUGCUAGUGGCUGCUAUUCCUUUUGCCUUUAUUUCUUGAAAUUGUAUACGUACACCAAGCAGGUUAUAGAGCAUUCUUUGCCAAUAACGUUGAGUUUGGCUUUAUACUGAUAUCUUUGUUAUUGAAAAGGUAGAAAAUUAAAGCAGAAAUACAAUAUAAUCUCUAUAAAUUAUUACUCUAUAAAUUAAUUAUCUCUAUUAUGUAAUAAUUUUUUACCGUCCUGACUU
rnacentral:lncRNA from 1 species